rnacentral:rRNA from 1 species
AGUAACGCGUGGGUAACCUGCCUCAUACAGGGGGAUAACAGUUAGAAAUGACUGCUAAUACCGCAUAAGCGCACGGAGACGCAUGUCUUUGUGUGAAAAGCCGAGACGGUAUGAGAUGGACCCGCGUCUGAUUAGGUAGUUGGUGAGGUAACGGCCCACCAAGCCGACGAUCAGUAGCCGACCUGAGAGGGUGACCGGCCACAUUGGGACUGAGACACGGCCCAA